CUCCUCUACAUUUCUUUGUGUUCAUUCAUUAAUUCAUCAUCAGCUUUAAGUCCAUUUCGUUAAUGCAGGCAUUCAAAUGACACAAGAGAACUCAUUUGAGAGUCUCAAGCUUCUCCACAGCCUUGCUCUGUGGCACUGCUACCAGAUGCACCCCCCAAGCAUGGCACAGCUAAGAAGAGCCCCGCUGAAUCAGGCCAGCCCAUCCAGCAACCACUUUCACACAGCGGCUAGCAAGUGAGCCUUAAGUUUCAGUGAAUCGCUGCUGAACCUGGAUCAAUGGAAGCUGCAGUGCUAAUCGAUGUCUCAAAGCAAAUACCUUUUUGAAGCAGAACAAUUCCACGCAAGCCUUGUUUACUACUCCCAAGAAGGUUAAUCAUUCUGCAGGGAUUCAGCUCAUCAAUCCCCCUUCUGAAGCAAACUGACCCCUGGAGACAUCAGCAAAGCACUCACUGAAAUAAAUCUCUGCAAUCCCUGAGCCUGAUUCUGUCCUCCUCACUUACCCAGUGAUCCUAAAUACAUCUGAUGGAAGGCCGUCUCAUUGAUUCCAAUGGAUUUUUACCUCCAAGUAAUAGACAAUUUUGUCUACCUGGGCUCCACCAUAACCAGCAACCUCUCCAUCAACACUGAACUGGACAAGAGUAUUGGUAUGGCAGCUACAGCAAUGGCUCGCCUCUCCAGAAGGGAAAUGGUACACCCUCAGGACCUGAGAGGUUGAAUGUGAAAUCUUGUGCUGUUGGUAUUGGGUCCAUCUCCUCCUCAGAGUUACGACAGAUCAGCUAGAUUCAACUAAACAGUGGAACAAGAAGGAGCCAGCAUGGACUUCACAAGUGCAACAGGGGCGCCCACAACUCCUCCCUCCCACACCUACCCAAAUAGGCUCUAUGUGGUUGGAAGAACCUCCAGAAUUGCUUGCAGAAGGAGACUGUUCUGUCCUUGAAGCAGAAAUGCUUGUGUUGAUGGAACAAUCAUAGUGGUGCAAUGUUGAAUGCCUUCCUUAGAGACUGAAAGCUUGUGACACAUAGAUCCCUUCUCAUACAAGCAUUAGUGCAGGUAGAUGCUCGCACUUUCUCUGAAAUCUUGUCAUGUAUAUAUGCCAGCCCACAUACCACGGCCAAGAGCAAUUGAGCUCUCAUGUGCAUAUACAUAGUUGGUUCAAUCUGCCUAGUUGGAUAAUCAGUGGAUUGUACCUUGGCUUCUGCCAAUAGACUAAAUAAAGUCUAAGAGUUCAAUAUGAAAUUCAAAUGCUUGCUUUUAGGCUACCUUCCUGCCUCGAAUUAAAACCUUUCCACGUCAUGUUGCAUAAUGUAGCCUGUGUUUUUCAGAAUAUUAAGUAUCGCAGUUGCCUAAUCAUACCAGAUUAAUGAAGUUACCAAGAUUCAUUUAGAAAGCAAUGGAGAAUGUCUAAUUUUAAUUAGGAGUUUUGAUUACUGAGGUUAAUGGAACCUCCCCCCACCCCUGCAAAAAAACAUUUGUUUUCAGAAGUAUAUAUUUACUAUAAUGAAAUCACAGUAUCUAGAUAUUAUCCCAGUUUGUGCUUAACAAGAGCACAGCAAAAUGAAGAUGAAAAGAGGCACCACGAUCCUAUAAGGGGAUGGAGAUAAUCCACAGCAGAGCAACCACCACGUCUAUUGCCCUUCCAGCUUGACAUAACAGAAAGUGGAGUGGUGGCUUCUAUCCCCCAACCCGUUUUUUUCCUCUCUCUUCCAUUGACUAUAGUGAGACAGAAUUUACUAUUCGAGCUCCAGGGCUGGAAUAGCUCUGAGUCCAUGAGGUGGGUGUGUUAAGGAAAGCAAAGUGACCCGGGCAGGGUCACUAUCAUGCCAUGGACAAGUUAGGAAACAUUAUGGAGAAAACAGUGGACGCUAAGCAGUAAUUCUGCAUUAUUGUAUAUCAUGCAUAUAGAUUGCUAAUGAGGGAUCAGUUAGCUCCCUAGAGUUUCUGUGAGCAUAUUGGGCUUUAGAUGCUGGAUUUACCUAUUGAUUUUCUAUUUUGUUUCUAUGUUUUAUAUUUGUUCUCUGUGUUAUUAAACCUAAUAAAAUACAUAUCUGAAAAUGAA